rnacentral:tRNA from 1 species
AGUUAAUUAGCUUAUUCCAAGCGUAUAUUUUGAAAAUAUAAGAAAAAGGUUAAACCCUUUAUUAACUU